UACAGAGGGUGCAAGCGUUGUUCGGAAUUACUGGGCGUAAAGCGCGUGUAGGCUGCGAUGUAAGUCAGGUGUGAAAGCCCUCAGCUUAACUGAGGAAGUGCACUUGAUACUGUGUCGCUUGAGUGUCGGAGGGGGGUGGCGGAAUUCCCGGUGUAGAGGUGAAAUUCGUAGAUAUCGGGAGGAACACCUGUGGCGAAGGCGGCCACCUGGACGACAACUGACGCUGAGACGCGAAAGCGUGGGUAGCGAACAGG
rnacentral:rRNA from 1 species